UGAGAUGUAGUUUUAAUGAACUGAGAUUGAGAGUUAUCAUUGAGAAGUGGGACUUCCUGAUGUUCUUUUUCUUGUGGGUGAGGUUCAACAGGCUGAUUAGUAGUAAUGGGAAGUGGGGUUUCCUUGCCAUCCUCAUUUGCCUUGAUUUCCUUAUCAAAAUAGGAUGUAUACUCGACAUUGAGAUCGAAAGUCGAAAGGGGCUUACCUGAAACCAAAUCCGGUUGGAGUGCCCAGACCCGCUUCUUGGCUGGCAAGCAAUAAGUAGCAGCGGAAGCAACGUCAGUGGGUUCAGGAAGAAGGGAAUGUCGGGACUCCUUUCGCUUCUUAGCGGGAAGUUGCAAUGAGAUGGGGGCGUUAUUUUCUUUGUUUUCUUGCAGCUGCUGCAAGAGCCUGAAUCUUUUGAGAGGAGGUAAGGCUUGAAAAUUGCCGUCCAUUAUUGGUACUUCUCUGAGAGAGAGAGAGAGAGAUG
rnacentral:misc_RNA from 1 species